rnacentral:lncRNA from 1 species
GGCCCGGAGCGCACGGGCUUGGCGCGGCCUCGGGACACUUCCUCGCGGGCUCCCGGGUGCCUGCAGCCCGACUGGCGUCCACAGACGGAGCUCGCGAGCCUUAGAGAGCUGCAGGAGUUGGACACCACUCCCAUCUGCAGAAAAUUGGUAACAUCUCAGAGGAGCCCUUGCUUCUUCCGGGACAUCCAGCAUCAUGGUUUCUCAUUUCAUGGGGUCUCUUAGUGUCCUGGGUUCCCUCCUGCUGCUUGGAUUGCAGCUCGUCUGCCCACAGCCCUCCACUGAGCACAGAAAGGUGGUUGGCUGGAUUUGGCCCAUGGCCCACAGUUUGGAGACCACCACUGUGAUGUCUGAUAGAGAGGAGUUAACUGCAAGUAUAUGUGUUUUGGAAUUUAAAGUUGGAAGUGUUUCCUCCUGGAACCUUAAGGAACACAAAUGAUUUAAGAAAAAAGUCUAUUUUUUUUAAUUAAAACAUAGAAUUAUGAUUGCUAUCAAAUUGGUCUCAUUGCUUCGAUAAAUCAUAAUUGAAUUCCUGCUGACCUAUUGUUUCCUGACAAAAUCCAUUCCCAAUUUGUAGCAGAGAGCAGCAGAAAGAAUUAGAAAACCAUUUAUGGUAAAUUCUUAAGGGACGGCAUUACUAAUUUGUGCAUAUUGCUGUUUAGUUGUAUAUGAAAACUAUCCACCAAAAGUCGCCUCUUUUUCUUUUUCAUUACAAUAGCAUGUCCAACUUUAGCAUAUGGAAGCAUUUCUGCAGUGUAAGUUAUUCUGAGGAAAAGACAUAAUUUGUAAAUGCUGUCAAGUAAACUAUGCUUUUCUAAAUGCAGUUUUGGUGACUGGAUGCAUCUCUGUAUAACUCGUCCCUGGUGCAGGAAAAGGAGACUGUGGUGCAGAGUGUGAGUAGCUCUUUUCAGAUAUUUCUCUGCAGAUGUCUUCCUCUUGCUCCUGCAACAAGGACAUGAUUACAAGGGAUGGCUCAACCUCUGUUCUUAGUUGUUUUCAGUGACACUUGGCAAAUGAUUAUAUUUUUAAAACUUUCUGUGGCUUCAUUUGCAGAUAAGCUAAAACUGGGACCAGGAAAAUAAACUUGACCAAGACUUUAAUAAAAACCGUCCG